rnacentral:lncRNA from 7 species
GAUCGUCCCCUCCAAAAAUGAAAAACCUCCAUGCAGAGCCAGCCACAACUGACAAACUCACAAACAUUAUUGUAUGCUGGCCCAGUAGUGGUGGCAGUAAUAAUAUAUGUAAAUCUUAAAAAAGGCAACCCUUGGAACAGAAUUGAUCACGGUAUAUAUAAAUAUACUGCGGAUCCGGCCGGCAGCGAGUCAUGGAUCGCGCAUCACUUUUCGCAACAGAUAAUCCAUGCCCAUGCAUGCACGCCGAGAGAGGCCGCCGGCUGAUCGGCGUCGUCGUCGGUGCUCCCCCGCGCUGCCGCACGUCGUGCGACGAGCGAGCAAUUUACAAUUCGCUGCUACGUACUGGCAGUGGCAGCUCUUGGGGUGCAACCGUGCAAGGGGCCGGGCGGGUUGACGACUGACCGUGUGGGGUGGCGCAUGGAGCUCGCAACGGCCAAGUGAGACGCGCGCGCGCGGCAGGCAGAGAGCCGCAGAGGUUGGUGGCCUGGCCUCUUCCUCCGACCGGCCGGGCGCACGCCGGAUGGCCU